CUGGUUGAUCCUGCCAGUAGUCAUAUGCUUGUCUCAAAGAUUAAGCCAUGCAUGUCUAAGUAUAAGCAAUCUAUACGGUGAAACUGCGAAUGGCUCAUUAAAUCAGUUAUCGUUUAUUUGAUAGUACCUUACUACUUGGAUAACCGUGGUAAUUCUAGAGCUAAUACAUGCUAAAAACCCCGACUUCGGAAGGGGUGUAUUUAUUAGAAUAAAAACCAAUCGGGUUUCGGCCCGUAAUUUGGUGAAUCUGAAUAACUUUGCCAAUCGCACAGUCCUAGUACUGGCGAUGUAUCUUUCAAGUGUCUGCCUUAUCAACUUUCGAUGGUAGGUUAUACGCCUACCAUGGUAGUAACGGGUAACGGAGAAUAAGGGUUCGACUCCGGAGAGGGAGCCUGAGAAACGGCUACCACAUCCAAGGAAGGCAGCAGGCGCGCAAAUUACCCACUUCCAGAACGGAGAGGUAGUGACGAAAAAUAACGAGACAGUCCUCUUCGAGGUCUGUCAUCGGAAUGGGUACAAUUUAAAUCCUUUAACGAGGAUCUAUUGGAGGGCAAGUCUGGU
rnacentral:rRNA from 1 species